rnacentral:sRNA from 1 species
UUCAAAAAUGUAGUGGAUAUGCCGAACUGUACACCUGUCGUUGCAGAAGAAACGCGAGCAAGUGAGGCACUGAAAGAAAUGUAAAAGCUUUUAACUCCCUAAUUUAGUUCACAUGAAAAGUGGCAGCCAUGGCCUAAGGCAAUCUAAAUUCCACUGGAAGCCCAUUUUCACCCAUAAAUGGUUAAUCCGAAAUAGCCAACCGUUAUACCCGUAAUACCCUGUAGCAAGUAACAUAAGCAGGCAAUGUUUCACCUACAUAACAAAGUACACAGAUAACAUAAACACACCGAACAGAACAGGAAAACAAGGAGGAGCCAAAGGAAAAGGAAUGGGGUUUUUCGAGUGCAC